UACGUAGGGUGCAAGCGUUGUCCGGAAUUAUUGGGCGUAAAGAGCUCGUAGGCGGUUUGUCGCGUCUGCUGUGAAAACUCGGGGCUUAACCCUGGGCCUGCAGUGGGUACGGGCAGACUAGAGUGCGGUAGGGGAGACUGGAAUUCCUGGUGUAGCGGUGAAAUGCGUAGAUAUGCGGAGGAACACCGAUGGCGAAGGCAUCCCCUGGGCCUGCACUGACGCUCGAUGCACGAAAA
rnacentral:rRNA from 1 species